UAGGGAAUCUUCCGCAAUGGGCGAAAGCCUGACGGAGCAACGCCGCGUGAGUGAUGAAGGUCUUCGGAUCGUAAAACUCUGUUAUUAGGGAAGAACAAAUGUGUAAGUAACUAUGCACGUCUUGACGGUACCUAAUCAGAAAGCCACGGCUAACUACGUGCCAGCAGCCGCGGUAAUACGUAGGUGGCAAGCGUUAUCCGGAAUUAUUGGGCGUAAAGCGCGCGUAGGCGGUUUUUUAAGUCUGAUGUGAAAGCCCACGGCUCAACCGUGGAGGGUCAUUGGAAACUGGAAAACUUGAGUGCAGAAGAGGAAAGUGGAAUUCCAUGUGUAGCGGUGAAAUGCGCAGAGAUAUGGAGGAACACCAGUGGCGAAGGCGACUUUCUGGUCUGUAACUGACGCUGAUGUGCGAAAGCGUGGGGAUCAAACAGGAUUAGAUACCCUGGUAGUCCACGCCGUAACGAUGAGUGCUAAGUGUUAGGGGGUUUCCGCCCCUUAGUGCUGCAGCUAACGCAUUAAGCACUCCGCCUGGGGAGUACGACCGCAAGGUU
rnacentral:rRNA from 1 species